rnacentral:rRNA from 1 species
GUUUUUCGGUGCAAGAUGAGCUCGCGGCCUAUCAGCUUGUUGGUGGGGUAAUGGCCUACCAAGGCGUCGACGGGUAGCCGGCCUGAGAGGGUGUACGGCCACAUUGGGACUGAGAUACGGCCCAGACUCCUACGGGAGGCAGCAGUGGGGAAUAUUGCACAAUGGGCGGAAGCCUGAUGCAGCGACGCCGCGUGGGGGAUGAAGGCCUUCGGGUUGUAAACUCCUUUCGACAGGGACGAAGCGUAAGUGACGGUACCUGUAUAAGAAGCACCG